UUUUAAUUUUUUAAAAUAUAGUUUAACCUAAUCCUGCAUGGACUUAUAAAUCUUAUGUUAAUGCAUCUUAGGAUACAUGCAAAACAGAUCUUAUAAUAUCACUAUCAUUUAUUAUUUAAUUAGAUAAUGGGAGUGUGCUGUGUUCAUAAUUGUAAUAAAACAUAUAAAAUAGAAUCUAAUACACAUAUUUCUUAUCAUAAAUUUCCAUUAAAAUCCAAAGAAUUAUUGGAAAAAUGGUUACAGGCUAUAAAUAGAAAAAAUUUUAUGCCUAAUAAAUAUAGUAUAAUGGGGGGUUAGUGAUUCCUUCAUCUAGUAUGUCUAUAUUAUGCCGAAUUUGUGAAAGUUCAUUUAGAACUUAUCAAAAUGAUAUUAAACGUAAAAAUAUUAUUAAAAAAAUGGAAGUGUUGGUUUUUUCCACAAUAAUUGGUACAAAUAUUUUUAUUGAUCUUACUGAACAUAUUAAUGAACAUGAGAUUGGUUACAGCCAUUUUCAAAUUCUUGUAAAAUUAAUUGUUCAAAGAUAUUUAAAUAUUAGAUUUUUCCAUUUUGCUGACUUGAGAAACCAGGAAUUGAUAACUGGUAUGAGACAAAAUCUUACAAAAGCAAUACAAUUUAAUAAUCAAUAAGUCAUGUGAUGAUAGAAUCAAAAAGGAUGAAUGUUUAUAAUCAAAGAUAAUAUGAAUGUGAAUCAUCAUAUUGUUAAAAAUACAUUUUGUUUUUUAAAGUGUACACAUUUAUAUUUUUAUAUAUUUAUUGUAUAAACCUUAUUUAAAUGAUUUAUAUAAUAAUUUAUACCCAUGCAAAAAAUGUUAUUA